AGAGAUGCGACGGUGAUCUGCCGUGAAAAAGGAUAAGUUAGAAAGGGCGCACGGUGAAUGCCUUGGCACUAGGAGCCGAUGAAGGACGCGACGAACCGCGAUAGGCUUCGGGGAGCUGUAAGUAAGCUUCGAUCCGGAGAUUUCCGAAUGGGGGAACCCACCAUCCGUAAUGGGAUGGUACUGGCAUCUGAACACAUAGGAUGUCGAGAGGCAGACCCGGGGAACUGAAACAUCUAAGUACCCGGAGGAAGAGAAAGCAAAUGCGAUUUCCUGAGUAGCGGCGAGCGAAACGGAAACAGCCCAAACCAAGAGGCUUGCCUCUUGGGGUUGUAGGACACUCAACAACGGAGUGAUCAAGAAACGGAGUAGGUGAACUGUCUGGAAAGGCAGGCCGAAGAAGGUAACAGCCCUGUAACUGAAACUUCGUUUCCUCCAGAGUGGAUCCUGAGUACGGCGGGACACGUGAAACCCCGUCGGAAUCCGGGAGGACCAUCUCCCAAGGCUAAAUACUCCCUAGUGACCGAUAGUGAACCAGUACCGUGAGGGAAAGGUGAAAAGUACCCCGGAAGGGGAGUGAAAGAGAUCCUGAAACCGUGUGCCUACAACUAGUCAGAGCCCGUUAACGGGUGAUGGCGUGCCUUUUGUAGAAUGAACCGGCGAGUUACGGUAUCGUGCAAGGUUAAGCUGAUGAAGCGGAGCCGCAGCGAAAGCGAGUCUGAAUAGGGCGCAUUAGUACGAUGCCGUAGACCCGAAACCGGGUGAUCUACCCAUGUCCAGGGUGAAGGUCGGGUAACACCGACUGGAGGCCCGAACCCACGCAAGUUGAAAAUUGCGGGGAUGAGGUGUGGGUAGGGGUGAAAUGCCAAUCGAACUCGGAAAUAGCUGGUUCUCCCCGAAAUAGCUUUAGGGCUAGCCUCGAGUGAUGAGUCUUGGAGGUAGAGCACUGAUUGGACGAGGGGUCCCCACAGGAUUACCGAAUUCAGUCAAACUCCGAAUGCCAAUGACUUUAACUCGGGAGUCAGACUGCGAGUGCUAAGAUCCGUAGUCAAGAGGGAAACAGCCCAGACCAUCAGCUAAGGUCCCCAAGUAUACGUUAAGUGGAAAAGGAUGUGGAGUUGCCCAGACAACCAGGAUGUUGGCUUAGAAGCAGCCAUCAUUGAAAGAGUGCGUAAUAGCUCACUGGUCGAGUGACUCUGCGCCGAAAAUGUACCGGGGCUAAACGUAUCACCGAAGCUAUGGCAAUCCCGUAUGGGAUUGGGUAGGGGAGCGUUCCAAGGACAGCGAAGCCAGAUCGUGAGGACUGGUGGAGUGCUUGGAAGUGAGAAUGCCGGUAUGAGUAGCGAAAAGAUAGGUGAGAAUCCUAUCCGUCGAAAGCCCAAGGUUUCCUGAGGAAGGCUCGUCCGCUCAGGGUUAGUCGGGACCUAAGCCGAGGCCGAAAGGCGUAGGCGAUGGACAACAGGUUGAUAUUCCUGUACCACCUCGUAUUCGUUUGAACGAUGGGGGGACGCAGAAAGGUAGGGUGAGCGCGCCGCUGGCUGUGCGCGUCGAAGCAUGCGAGGCUGGAACAUAGGCAAAUCCGUGUUCCAUAAGGCUGAGCUGUGACCGUGAAGGACCUUCGGGUCCGAAAUCCCUGAUCCUCCGCUGCCGAGAAAAGCCUCUAGUGAGAAUACAGGUGCCCGUACCGCAAACCGACACAGGUAGGCGAGAAGAGAAUUCUAAGACGCUCGGGAGAACUCUCGUUAAGGAACUCGGCAAAAUGACCCCGUAACUUCGGGAGAAGGGGUGCUCUAGUAGGGUUAACCGCCCGAGAGAGCCGCAGUGAAAGGAUCCAAGCGACUGUUUAGCAAAAACACAGGUCUCUGCGAAGCCGUAAGGCGAAGUAUAGGGGCUGACACCUGCCCGGUGCUGGAAGGUUAAGAGGAAGGGUCAUCCCUUACGGGAGAAGCUCUGAAUUGAAGCCCCAGUAAACGGCGGCCGUAACUAUAACGGUCCUAAGGUAGCGAAAUUCCUUGUCGGGUAAGUUCCGACCCGCACGAAUGGUGCAACGACUUGGAUACUGUCUCAACGAGAGACCCGGUGAAAUUAUAGUACCUGUGAAGAUGCAGGUUACCCGCGACAGGACGGAAAGACCCCAUGGAGCUUUACUGUAGCUUGAUAGUGAGUGUUGGUAUCAUCUGUACAGGAUAGGUAGGAGCCUUGGAAACCGGAGCGCUAGCUUCGGUGGAGGCGUCGGUGGGAUACUACCCUGAUGGUGCUGGCAUUCUAACCUCGACCCGUGAUCCGGGCCAGGGACAUUGUCAGGUGGGCAGUUUGACUGGGGCGGUCGCCUCCUAAACAGUAACGGAGGCGCCCAAAGGUUCCCUCAGAAUGGUUGGAAAUCAUUCGCAGAGUGCAAAGGCAGAAGGGAGCUUGACUGCGAGACCUACAAGUCGAGCAGGGACGAAAGUCGGGCUUAGUGAUCCGGCGGUGCCGUAUGGAAGGGCCGUCGCUCAACGGAUAAAAGCUACCCUGGGGAUAACAGGCUUAUCUCCCCCAAGAGUCCACAUCGACGGGGAGGUUUGGCACCUCGAUGUCGGCUCGUCGCAUCCUGGGGCUGAAGUAGGUCCCAAGGGUUGGGCUGUUCGCCCAUUAAAGCGGCACGCGAGCUGGGUUCAGAACGUCGUGAGACAGUUCGGUCCCUAUCCGUCGCGGGCGUAGGAAAUUUGAGAGGAGCUGUCCUUAGUACGAGAGGACCGGGAUGGACAUACCGCUGGUGUACCAGUUGUUCCGCCAGGAGCAUCGCUGGGUAGCUACGUAUGGACGGGAUAAGUGCUGAAAGCAUCUAAGCAUGAAGCCCCCCUCAAGAUGAGAUUUCCCAUGGCGUAAGCCAGUAAGACCCCUUAGAGAUGAUGAGGUUGAUAGGUCAGAAGUGGAAGCGUGGCGACACGUGGAGCGGACUGAUACUAAUCGGUCGAGGACUUAUCCUA
rnacentral:rRNA from 2 species